ensembl:lncRNA
UAAAUUUUACCUCUUUAUUUCAAAUCCUUCAUUUAGAACUGUUUUAAAACAAGCUCUGUGUAUUAUCCUUGGAUAAAAAAAGAGUUUCUUCGUAAGUUGUAAAGAAAUUGAGGAGACUGAGGAUGUAGAUUAGUGGUAAAGCACCUGUCUAGCCUACUUGAGGCCUUGAGUUCGAUUCCCAGCACCUCCAACAAAUUAAGAUUAAAAAUAAAUUGAGCAGAAAGUUCGGAGACAUUUAAAAAGAUAAAGAGGAUGAUUUCCAACUACUGAGUUCUGAGAAGGAGCCACGGAUGUUUAAUUUUGAUGCAUAUGUUGCCAGCCAGCGUUCAGCCUUUAUUAUUCUGAGAUAUUUUUUCCCCUUUCGCAAACUUUUUCAUCCUGGUUCAGAGCCCCCCCCCAGCAUUGCUUUUCCCCACUCCUCUCACCUAUUUAAAGUGGAAAUAAAUAUCUGCAGCUUAAAAUAGAGAAGCGAGGGGGUUGGGGGCACACGUAAUCAUUUGUUUAUUGCAUUUGAUCACUGUUUUGAAUAACAAGGUUUUCACUUCCUAUGAAACUUUAGCAUGAGGGAAAGCAGCAGCUGGACUCUGAGAGAGAAGAGGGGCAGGAAGGGACUGGAGUGUUUGUAAACAGGAGAGUGGCCCUCUGCUGCCUGCUGCUCCUAGCUCUCUCUACUACCUAAGGCUAGAAGUGGAAAAACUUGAUUUGCAUGUUGUGCCUGCAUUUUUUUCCCUUUCUUCUUCCCCACACCGCCCUCUGUACACCUGACCGUGCACAAGCCUAUCUGGUACUGGCUCCAUGGCAGGGAGCGCUGGAGAGAGGAAGAAUGUGCCCAGGGAGGGAGCACUCGGUACUUUUCCAUUCACAUCUCCACAGUGGCUUUUCUUGUUUAUUUCAACCUCCACCCGCAGAAACCUUUCAGCUGCCUGAAAUUCGAGUCAUUAAACUGUUCCCUGAGGUCAGACUACAGAGGCUGGUGCAUGUUUCCUACAUGUCAGGGUCCAGUAACCUAUGUACAUACAGAGACGCAAUCCUAACUCCGAGGGAGUGCGGUGUGACAGAGGAGAAUAAAACUGGACGCGUUGCCAAAAAACCCUUGGUUUCUAAUUACAGCUCUGCCUGGAACUUUUUAUGGGACAUUGAGCAAAGUCACUUGUGAGGACUCAGUUUUCUCAACUGUACUAGGUGUGACCUAGAUGAGCGCAUUUCUGCUCUGAGUCCUAUACCUGAGCAUCUAGACACACAUUUACAUAAUUUAGGGUGAGGAGGAAGAGUUGUGUGUAUCUGUGUACAGGGGGUGGGGAAAGGGGUUGAAAUAUAAACUUCUAAGGAGGCAGUCCUGGAAUCCCUCGCUCUAUCAAUUUUUAACCAAUUAUAGACCAAAGUCUGGGAUUAUGCAGACUGCAAAACCGAUUGAAGAUUUUAAAGGUUAAGAGUUGAAGGAGGCAGGUUUUUAAGACCUUGUACUUUUGAUCUCCAGUAUUCAUAAUCAGAAGUGACACUUCCGGGUGCCUUUUCCACCCCAUAAUAGUUCUUCUCCUUCUCCCUUUUUUCUUUUUCUUUUGGGCAACUGUCCCAGUCAGUGAUAGGAAGGAGGUGAUCCUUGUGAACUGGGUAGUCUUUAAGCCACUAGGCUCUAUGUGGAUGUGGAAAAUAUUUCAUAACAUCCUGAAGAAGGGACGGAAGGAGGAAGGAAGAAAGGGAAGGACUUAAAGAGAUUUUCCAGGUCAUCAGAAACAAGCAAAGUCUGAGAAUCUGCCACAGCCAACAAUAGCUGAAGGAGACGUGACAACUUGAUGUAAUGCAAUGCCCCGGAUGCAGUCACAGACCACGAAAAGACACAAGAUAAACUUCAACAAAACUGAAUCAAUGAUGGAUUUUAGUUAAUAAUAAUGCCUCAAUAUUUUUCACUGUUAUAAAUGUACUAAUUUCAGAUGUUAAUAAAGGGGAAACUGGCUG